rnacentral:rRNA from 1 species
GAUUAACGCUGGCGGCGUGCCUAACACAUGCAAGUCGAGCGGCAGCGAGUUUUACACUGAAUUCUGGAAGCUUCUAGUUGAAAGAGAAGAUUUAUUCAAGAAUUUUGUGUAAAAUGUCGGCGAGCGGCGGACGGCUGAGUAACGCGUGGGAACGUACCCCAAAGUGAGGGAUAACGCAUCGAAAGGUGUGCUAAUACCGCAUAUGGUCUUCGGAUUAAAGCCUUCGGGCGCUUUGGGAGCGGCCUGCGUAAGAUUAGAUAGUUGGUGGGGUAAUGGCCUACCAAGUCGACGAUCUUUAACUGGUUUGAGAGGAUGAUCAGUCAGACUGGAACUGAGACACGGUCCAGACUCCUACGGGAGGCAGCAGUGAGGAAUCUUCCACAAUGGGCGAAAGCCUGAUGGAGCAACGCCGCGUGCAGGAUGAAGGCCUUCGGGUUGUAAACUGCUUUUAUAAGUGAGGAUUAUGACAGUAACUUAUGAAUAAGGAUCGGCUAACUACGUG